rnacentral:rRNA from 1 species
UACGUAGGGGGCAAGCGUUGUCCGGAUUUACUGGGCGUAAAGAGCGUGUAGGCGGCCAAACAGGUCCGUUGUGAAAACUGGAGGCUUAACCUCCAGACGUCGACGGAAACCGUGUGGCUAGAGCCCGGAAGAGGAGAGUGGAAUUCCUGGUGUAGCGGUGAAAUGCGCAGAUAUCAGGAAGAACACCAAUGGCGAAGGCAGCUCUCUGGGACGGUACUGACGCUGAGACGCGAAAGCGUGGGGAGCGAACAGG